rnacentral:rRNA from 1 species
ACGGAAGGCAGCAGUGGGGAAUAUUGCACAAUGGGGGAAACCCUGAUGCAGCGACGCCGCGUGAGUGAAGAAGUUAUUCGUAAUGUAAAGCUCUAUCAGCAGGGAAGAAAAUGACGGUACCUGACUAAGAAGCCCCGGCUAACUACGUGCCAGCAGCCGCGGUAAUACGUAGGGGGCAAGCGUUAUCCGGAUUUACUGGGUGUAAAGGGAGCGUAGACGGCGAUGCAAGUCUGAAGUGAAAGGACGGGGCUUAACUCUGUGACUGCUUUGGAAACUGUAUUGCUAGAGUGCCGGAGGGGUAAGCGGAAUUCCUAGUGUAGCGGUGAAAUGCGUAGAUAUUAGGAGGAACACCAGUGGCGAAGGCGGCUUACUGGACGGUAACUGACGUUGAGGCUCGAAAGCGUGGGGAGCAAACAGGAUUAGAUACCCUGGUA